UUUUACCAAAUAGAAAAGGUUUCACUUAUAGAAUGAAGAACCGAUGCAAGAAAGUAAACGGUUGUGCAGAGUACCAUUGUUUCGAUUUCCAUAGUGAAUUUCCAUACAAAAAGAAUUCUUCAGCUUAAUUGUAUCUUUAGGACAAAACAACUCAGCCAAAUAGUACGCAAUACAUCAGCCGAGCUCGCAUUUUCUGCACAUAGAAAUAACAGAAGUGUGUCAAUCAAGUUACCUUCGAUUUUUUUAACACAGUACAGACGCAGCGAUCAUACAUACGCACAUAGACUCACUCCUAUAAACACAGACACGCACACCCUACCCUUAUCUCGAUGUUUUGAUGAUAGGCGUGAGAGUCGCUUUUUUAUGCCAAUAUCUGGAUCAUACUUUCUAAAAAAACAUUCAGCUCUAGGACAAGUUGUCUCAAGGCCCCGCGACAACAUACAAAUGUCUAUCUGGCCAAUGAAAUAGCUUCUGAACUGAAUCCACUGUCGCUCGCUAGGUCAUCACAUUGCCGGAAGUCAUCACAUUGCUGGAAGAGAUAACGAAGAUGAAAAAAAUCAAGAGAAAUUAAAUCAUAAUCCAGACUUUACUUCUCAAUUUGAUAAUUUGCCACCCCCCCCACCCCCCUCCCCCGCCAAACUGACGAGUGGGGCCAGGGCCACUGGACAUUUAGAGACAACUGUGGGGCAAAUUAUCUAACCCCUUGUAAAGUGGGGCAAAUCAUUUAAUCCCCCAACAUAUCAAACAAACACUCAAACAUCACAAUUCACAAGGUUUUGCAACAAAAGUAAAGUAAUACUUAACUCACUUAAAACAAGAACCUCUGAAAAAUCACUAACAAGGGAAGGUAAAAAAAACAAUAAGAUGAACAUGGAAG
rnacentral:lncRNA from 1 species